rnacentral:rRNA from 1 species
GACGAACGCUGGCGGCGUGCCUAAUACAUGCAAGUCGAGCGAAGUUUUUCUGGUGCUUGCACUAGAAAAACUUAGCGGCGAACGGGUGAGUAACACGUAAAGAACCUGCCUCAUAGACUGGGACAACUAUUGGAAACGAUAGCUAAUACCGGAUAACAGCAUUAACUGCAUGGUUGAUGUUUAAAAGUUGGUUUUGCUAACACUAUGAGAUGGCUUUGCGGUGCAUUAGCUAGUUGGUGGGGUAAAGGCCUACCAAGGCGACGAUGCAUAGCCGACCUGAGAGGGUGAUCGGCCACACUGGGACUGAGACACGGCCCAGACUCCUACGGGAGGCAGCAGUAGGGAAUCUUCCGCAAUGGGCGAAAGCCUGACGGAGCAACGCCGCGUGAGUGAAGAAGGAUUUCGGCUCGUAAAGCUCUGUUGUUAGGGAAGAAUGAUUGUGUAGUAACUAUACACAGUAGAGACGGUACCUAACCAGAAAGCCACGGCUAACUACGUGCCAGCAGCCGCGGUAAUACGUAGGUGGCAAGCGUUGUCCGGAAUUAUUGGGCGUAAAGCGCGCGCAGGUGGUUUAAUAAGUCUGAUGUGAAAGCCCACGGCUCAACCGUGGAGGGUCAUUGGAAACUGUUAAACUUGAGUGCAGGAGAGAAAAGUGGAAUUCCUAGUGUAGCGGUGAAAUGCGUAGAGAUUAGGAGGAACACCAGUGGCGAAGGCGGCUUUUUGGCCUGUAACUGACACUGAGGCGCGAAAGCGUGGGGAGCAAACAGG